rnacentral:rRNA from 1 species
AUUGAACGCUGCGGCAGGCCUAACACAUGCAAGUCGAACGAGUGGCGGACGGGUGAGUAAUGUCUGUGAAACUGCCUGAUGGAGGGGGAUAACUACCGGAAACGGUAGCUAAUACCGCAUACCAUCGGAUUUGCCCAGAUGGGAUUAGCUAGUAGGUGGGGUAAAGGCCCACCUAGGCGACGAUCCCUAGAUGGUCUGAGAGGAUGACCAGCCACACUGGAACUGAGACACGGUCCAGACGCCUCCGGGAGGCAGCAGUGGGGAAUAUUGCGCAAUGGGCGCAGGCUUGAUGCAGCCGUGCCGCGUGUAUGAAGAAGGCCUUCGGGUUGUAAAGUACUUUCAGCGGGAAGGCGUUACCCGCAGAAGAAGCCCCGGCUAACUCCGUGCCAGCAGCCGCGGUAAUUC